rnacentral:lncRNA from 1 species
AUGAACCUAUUUCAAGAAAAACGUUUUCAUAAUAUGAAGACAUUAUUUGCAUUUUUCAUUGUGAUUCUCUCAUUGGAAUACAGUCGAAUUCCUGGUGGCUACAUCACUCUGACUAGGAAAGCUAUGCAUAUGGAACCACCUGACAGUGAAGAGACCGAUGACUCAGUACAAAAAUUCCAAAGGAACUUGUAA